CAGUCAUACUGUGAUGAAAGCAACUCUUCUCAUCCGAUCACCGAAGUUAAGCAUCCUCCGGCGCGAUCAGUACUUGCGAAGGUGUCCAUG